rnacentral:rRNA from 1 species
UGAACGCUGGCGGCAUGCUUACACAUGCAAGUCGGACGGCAGCACAGAGAAGCUUGCUUCUUGGGUGGCGAGUGGCGAACGGGUGAGUAACAUAUCGGAACGUACCGAGUAGUGGGGGAUAACUGAUCGAAAGAUCAGCUAAUACCGCAUACGUCUUGAGAGGGAAAGCAGGGGACCUUCGGGCCUUGCGCUAUUCGAGCGGCCGAUAUCUGAUUAGCUAGUUGGUGGGGUAAAGGCCUACCAAGGCGACGAUCAGUAGCGGGUCUGAGAGGAUGAUCCGCCACACUGGGACUGAGACACGGCCCAGACUCCUACGGGAGGCAGCAGUGGGGAAUUUUGGACAGUGGGCGCAAGCCUGAUCCAGCCAUGCCGCGUGUCUGAAGAAGGCCUUCGGGUUGUAAAGGACUUUUGUCAGGGAAGAAAAGGCUGUUGCUAAUAUCAGCGGCUGAUGACGGUACCUGAAGAAUAAGCACCGGCUAACUACGUGCCGGCAGCCGCGGUAAUACGUAGGGUGCGAGCGUUAAUCGGAAUUACUGGGCGUAAAGCGAGCGCAGACGGUUACUUAAGCAGGAUGUGAAAUCCCCGGGCUCAACCUGGGAACUGCGUUCUGAACUGGGUGACUAGAGUGUGUCAGAGGGAGGUAGAAUUCCACGUGUAGCAGUGAAAUGCGUAGAGAUGUGGAGGAAUACCGAUGGCGAAGGCAGCCUCCUGGGAUAACACUGACGUUCAUGCUCGAAAGCGUGGGUAGCAAACAGGAUUAGAUACCCUGGUAGUCCACGCCCUAAACGAUGUCAAUUAGCUGUUGGGCAACUUGAUUGUUC